UACGUAGGUGGCAAGCGUUGUCCGGAUUUACUGGGCGUAAAGAGCGCGCAGGCGGUCUUCCAAGUCAGUGGUGAAAGCCCGGAGCUCAACUCCGGAAUUGCCAUUGAAACUGUGAGACUGGAGUACGAGAGAGGUGAGUGGAAUUCCCAGUGUAGAGGUGAAAUUCGUAGAUAUUGGGAAGAACACCGGUGGCGAAGGCGGCUCACUGGCUCGUAACUGACGCUCAGGCGCGACAGCGUGGGGAUCAAACAGG
rnacentral:rRNA from 1 species